rnacentral:rRNA from 1 species
AUUGAACGCUGGCGGCAAGCCUAACACAUGCAAGUCGAACGAGUGGCGGACGGGUGAGUAAUGUCUGGGAAACUGCCUGAUGGAGGGGGAUAACUAGUGGAAACGGUAGCUAAAACCGCAUACCAUAGGAUGUGCCAAGAUGGGAUUCGCUAGUAGGUGGGGUAAAGGCUCACCUAGGCGACGAUCCCUAGCUGGGCUGCGAGGAUGACCAGCCCAACUUGAACUUAGACACGGUCCAGACUCCUACGAGAGGCAGCAGUGGGGAAUAUUGCACAAUGCGCGCAAGCCUGCUGCAGCCAUGCCGCGUGUAUGAAGAAGGCCUUCGGGUUGUAAAGUACUUUCAGCGGGGAGGCGUUACCCGCAGAAGAAGCACCGGCUAACUCCGUGCCAGCAGCCGCGGUAAUUC